rnacentral:rRNA from 1 species
UACGUAGGUGACAAGCGUUAUCCGGAUUUAUUGGGCGUAAAGCGCACGCAGGCGGCGGAUUAAGUCUGACGUGAAAUCUCUCGGCUUAACCGGGAGCGGUCGUUGGAAACUAAUCGGCUUGAGGCGAUGAGAGGGGUGUGGAAUUCCCGGUGUAGUGGUGGAAUGCGUAGAUAUCGGGAGGAACAUCAGUGGCGAAAGCGGCACCCUGGCAUUAGCCUGACGCUCAGGUGCGAAAGCGUGGGGAGCAAACAGG